UGUAGCGUACCUACUAGCCUACGACGGGUACGGGUUGUGAGAGCAAGAGCCCGGAGAUGGAUUCUGAGACACGAAUCCAGGCCCUACGGGGUGCAGCAGGCGCGAAAACUUUACAAUGCCGGCAACGGCGAUAAGGGGACCUCGAGUGCCAGGUUACAAAUCUGGCUGUCGUGAUGCCUAAAAAGCAUUGCAUAGCAAGGGCCGGGCAAGACCGGUGCCAGCCGCCGCGGUAACACCGGCGGCUCGAGUGGUAACCGUUAUUAUUGGGUCUAAAGGGUCUGUAGCCGGCCGGAUAAGUCUCUUGGGAAAUCCAGCAGCUCAACUGUUGGGCUUUCAGGAGAUACUGUCUGGCUCGAGGCCGGGAGAGGUGAGAGGUACUUCAGGGGUAGGGGUGAAAUCUUGUAAUCCUUGAAGGACCACCAGUGGCGAAGGCGUCUCACCAGAACGGACCUGACGGCAAGGGACGAAAGCUAGGGGCACGAACCGGAUUAGAUACCCGGGUAGUCCUAGCCGUAAACGAUACUCGCUAGGUGUCGGCCACGGUGCGACCGUUGUCGGUGCCGUAGGGAAGCCGUGAAGCGAGC
rnacentral:rRNA from 1 species